rnacentral:rRNA from 1 species
GAAUGUGGCCAUAUCACGUUGAAUGCAUUGGUUCUCAACCAAUCACCAAAGUUAAGCAACGUCGAGCCUAGUGAGUACUUGAAAAGGUGACAGCUUGGGAAACUUAGGCGCUGGAAGUG